rnacentral:other from 1 species
GAGUCCCUGCCGGGUUCGUGAUUCGGACUGAAUCGCUGGCCCCUGUGUUCCGAUCCUUCGGGAUCCGAUGGUGGUCGUGGACGGCGUGCCUCUCUGGCGAGGAUCCGACAAGCGGCCAUCGCGGGACCCACCUCUUUUCAGGAGGGGGUCCAGGAUCAACGUCCACACGGCCAUGGCGGGUCCCCU